rnacentral:rRNA from 1 species
AACCAGCACCUCAAGUGGUCAGGAUGAUUAUUGGGCCUAAAGCAUCCGUAGCUCGUUUUGUAAGUUUUCGGUUAAAUCUAUGCGCUUAACGUAUAGGCCGCCGAAAAUACUGUGCAGCUAGGGAGUGGGAGAGGUACACGGUACUCGAUAGGAAGGGUAAAGUACCUUUGUAUCUAUUGAUGACCACCUGUGGCGAAGGCGGUGUACCAGAACACGUUCGACGGUGAGGGAUGAAAGCUGGGGAGGCAAACCGGA